rnacentral:rRNA from 1 species
CCCUACGGGGCGCAGCAGGCGCGAAAUCUUCACAAUGUGCGAAAGCACGAUGAGGGGAUCCCAAGUGUUGGUUCGUAAGAGUCAUCUGUUUCUUUGUCUAAAAAACAGAGAGAGUAAGAGCUGGGUAAGACGGGUGCUAGUCGCCGCGGUAAUACCUGCAGCUCAAGUGGUGGCCGCUAUUAUUGGGCCUAAAACGUCCGUAGCCGGUUUAGUAAAUGCCUGGGUAAAUUGUGUAGCUCAACUAUACGAAUACCGGGUAGACUGCUAAACUUGGAACCGGGAGGGGCUAGAGGUACUCCUAGGGUAGAGGUGAAAUUCUGUAAUCCUAGGGGGACCACCAGUGGCGAAGGCGUCUAGCUAGAACGGGUUUGACGGUGAGGGACGAAGCCCUGGGGCGCAAACCGGAUUAGAUACCCGGGUAGUCCAGGGUGUAAACGCUGCUCGCUUGAUGUUAGUCGGGCUUCGAGCCCAACUAGUGUCGGAGAGAAGUUGUUAAGCGAGCUGCCUGGGAAGUACGGUCGUAAGGCUGAAACUUAAAGGAAUUGGCGGGGGAGCAC